CUUCAUUGCUUUCAAUGGGAAACUUUUGGCGUCAGAAUUCGACACGAGGACAUGAGAUGUUUAUCGCUAUGAAAUCACGUUCAAGAAGUCUCAUUCAGCACACAUCGCGAUACUUGCUAUCAGUUCCACAGUUUGGCUGAAAAGACGUAAAGGCAGUCAGCCCAGUGGUGUUUCUGGAGAGGGAUUCCUUCAGAAAUGGAGAAGACAGAAAGCUGCGGAUGCAGAUAUUUGCAGCAGUCUAAAAUAUCAAGCUCAACAGCUCACUCAAGAGCCAACCCUCACAAACCUUCCUAAAAACUAAAAGAGCUAUUACUGAGUCUCAGCGAAUCUUGCCAUGAUCAGCUCUUCCCAGAAGAGAAGGAAGACCAAGGAAGUGAUUUGCUCAGGAUGAGAAAUGAAGAUGG